UACGAGGGGGGCGAGCGUUGUUCGGAAUUAUUGGGCGUAAAGGGCGCGUAGGCGGUUGGGUAAGUCUUGUGUGAAAUCUUCGGGCUCAACUCGAAGUCUGCACGAGAAACUAUCUGGCUUGAGUGUGGGAGAGGCGAGUGGAAUUCCUGGUGUAGCGGUGAAAUGCGUAGAUAUCAGGAGGAACACCUGUGGCGAAAGCGGCUCACUGGACCACAACUGACGCUGAGGCGCGAAAGCUAGGGGAGCAAACAGG
rnacentral:rRNA from 1 species